CCAACACUCUCAAACCCUCCCGACAACUCUUCAAUCAGAACUGCUUCCUUCAAACCCUACACAAUACCAACUCCAACCUCUGCUUCUCCCUUGACGAUUACUGCGACUUCGGCCCCAAUUUCUUCUACCGUAAUUGCCCCGACGUAGUUAGCUCUGCCGAUCGAGAUAGUUUGAGCCGAACCUUUACUCUCCCAGUGCACAUCAAAGAAAGGUGGAAGUGAGACAAUGGACCUGAUUGAUUGCAGAAUAAAAGUUUGGUAGCCAGUGGACAAGCGGUUUUAUGGAGUAGUGAAGUCUUAUGACUCUGAACAUAAGAAAUAUGUGGUACUGUAUGAUGAUGGAGAUGUGGAAGUGCUCCGUUUAGAUAAAGAGCGUUGGGAGCUUGUUGACAAUGGUCACAAGCCUACAAAGGUUAACUUUAUAUUAUAAAUUCUAUUGAAGCAAUGAAUUGGCCUUUAACUCUAACAAUGUGUCUUUUUUACACCACAAUUCACAGCAGCUAAAUUCAUCGAAAGGUCUAUCUAAAAAGGGAUUGUGAGUAAUGCCUUCU